GCCCGGUUAGCUCAAUCGGUAGAGCGUGAGACUCUUAAUCUCAAGGUUGCGGGUAGGUUUACCCAUUAUCCA